rfam:Phlebia centrifuga strain FBCC195 PHLCENscaffold_704, whole genome shotgun sequence.
UGCCCCAUGGCUUAGUUGGUCAAAGCGUCCGACUGUUAACGUGUUUGCGUAAGUGAUCGGAAGGUCGUGAGUUCAACCCUCACUGGGGCAG